GACGAACGCUGGCGGCGUGCUUAACACAUGCAAGUCGAACGGUGAAGCGCCUUCCUUUUUGGUGGGUGUGGAUGAGUGGCGAACGGGUGAGUAACACGUGAGUAACCUGCCCCCUUCUUCUGGAUAACCGCAUGAAAGUGUGGCUAAUACGGGAUAUUCUGGGUCUGUCGCAUGAUGGGUCUGGGAAAGAUAUUGUUUCGGUGGGGGAUGGGCUCGCGGCCUAUCAGCUUGUUGGUGGGGUGAUGGCCUACCAAGGCGGUGACGGGUAGCCGGCCUGAGAGGGUGGACGGUCACACUGGGACUGAGGCACGGCCCAGACUCCUACGGGAGGCAGCAGUGGGGAAUAUUGCACAAUGGGCGCAAGCCUGAUGCAGCGACGCCGCGUGAGGGAUGGAGGCCUUCGGGUUGUGAACCUCUUUCGCCAGUGAAGCAGGCCUGCCUCGUUUGUGGGUGGGUUGACGGUAGCUGGAUAAGAAGCGCCGGCUAACUACGU
rnacentral:rRNA from 1 species